AUGAACGUUGGCGGCGUGGAUUAGGCAUGCAAGUCGAACGAGAACCCCGCAAGGGGUGAAAGUGGCAAACGGCGUAGUAAGGCGUAGGUGACGUACCUCCCGAUUCGGGAUAGCUACGGGAAACUGUAGGUAAUACCGGAUAAUCCCUCCGAGAUUGAAAAUCGGAGUGCAAAGGUGUGAUUCCGUCAGGAGAGCGGCUUACGUGGUAUUAGCUAGUUGGUGAGGUAACGGCUCACCAAGGCUUCGAUGCCUAGGGGGUGUUAGCGCAUGACCCCCACGACUGGGACUGAGAUACUGCCCAGACACCUACGGGUGGCUGCAGUCGAGAAUCUUCGGCAAUGGGCGCAAGCCUGACCGAGCGACGCCGCGUGUGGGAUGAAGGCCCUUGGGUUGUAAACCACUGUCAGAGGGGAUGAAAUGCGGGUGGGUUCUCCCAUCCGUUUGACAUAGCCUCAGAGGAAGCACGGGCUAAGUUCGU
rnacentral:rRNA from 1 species